rnacentral:rRNA from 1 species
UACGUAGGGGGCAAGCGUUGUCCGGAAUCGUUGGGCGUAAAGAGCGUGUAGGCGGCCAGAUAAGUCCGCUGUGAAAUCUCGAGGCUCAACUUCGAGCUGUCGGUGGAGACUGUCUGGCUAGAGUCCGGAAGAGGAGAAUGGAAUUCCUGGUGUAGCGGUGAAAUGCGCAGAUAUCAGGAAGAACACCCGUGGCGAAGGCGGUUCUCUGGGACGGUACUGACGCUGAGACGCGAAAGCGUGGGGAGCGAACAGG